UUUGUAGGUUGCUGAUGCGUAAAACGUAUUGCUUUUGUGUAUUUCAUGUACAAUUUUACUCAGUUACAUCGUUUCAAAUUUUCUAUAAAAAACCUAUCAAAUCUUCAAAAAAUUCAAUUAAAAUCAUGUUAAAUUUCCAUCAUCCUGACAUCUUAUCGGUCAAAAAGUAUGUGUUUUCCACGCUAUUAGAAAUUUCGUGACGGAGACUAAUCCAGAAAUCAAGACUGAUGUUGGAGAGCAAGGAAGAAGCAGUUAGGAGGAGGCAAGUAAAAACACUUGACGAAAAGAACUCUGAAUAUUCCAUGGCAGCUGGGCCGCUAAUUAAAGAUACCUUCCGAAUGAAGUUGCCCAGAGUUCAACGUCAGUUCCAAAUCCUAAUGCCGAACUCAAACGCAGCUAACGAUGGAAAAGUUCAAAUGUCGGACUCCCUCGAUAAAACAGAAGUCACAACCCAAAGGGUGGACGAGACAACCGGAGUAGCUACAAAAUUGCUCACGUCCAUAUCAAAACCCUCAUCCCACCAGGAUCACAGCGUCACCGAUGCUAACCCCCCCGACAAGAACGAAAAAGGUGCCCGUAACACCGGAGAAGACUCCAGCAAACGAGAGACUUGCGAGAAAGAGAGGAAGGUAAUAGACCUUGCAGAAAUCGUGGAUGAUGACCGCAGAUCGGACAGAAAAAUGCCGAACCUGAACCUGAAUCUGCAGGACCGUAAGAACAAAAUUCGAGACAAGUGCGAGCUGGCUGGUAAAAGGUGGAGCGAAGCAAGUUUUCCGGGUAAACUAACAGAGGCAAGACUUGAACUGAAAAAGAAAAUGCCUGAUUGGUGGAAGACAAUGACUUGUAGUUUUAAUAGUCUGCAAGAAAACGUCGCGAGAAGAUUGGGGAAAAGAGGCGAUUGAGUGGAAGAGGAAACGUUCCUUUCCAAAACUGAAAAGUGAGAUUUGCUAAAAAAUAAAAUAAAAUAAAAUGAAAUAAAAAUGAACUCAAAACACAUCCAUGUUGAUCAUAAAACCAGGUGAGACUAUGUUCCGUGUAUUUUUUUUCCUUUUUUUCAUAAAAAUGAAGUCUAAGCUCGUACAAAUUUCAGCAAAACUUUUUUUGUUUAAAAUGAACUAAAUGGUUAUUUUAUACAUACUAGGCGAAACCUUCUAACCACAUUUCACGAAGAAGGAUAUUUGUUCUUUGAUAAAACUGUGUUUUUAAUUAUUGGUAUGAAUGAAUUUUAAAUCACAACGACACGAUUCUCAAAAAAUAUUUGAGUAGGUAUUUCUCCUCGUUUUUGAAGAGAGAAGUGAUGAAAUAAAGUAUCCCGUGGUUUUUCUACGUUUGGACGGCAUUAGGUGGUCUUCAACUCCGACUUUAUCACAAGUAUGCCAUUUUAUAUUAAAGCUCCUUAAUGAUAACAAAGCUUUAGAAUACCACCUAAUCUGAAAUUGCGCAUUCAUUUACGAUACGUAAGAAUAUCAUCGGAAAUUCGCUGCUCCUUGAGUAUAAAAACAUCAUCUACCUCUUACACCGAAAAAGUGAUACCUGCAAUUUGAUAUUUUCAUAGUUAGAAUGACUCUUGAAAAAAUAUAUUCCGUAUAAUAUAUAUGAUGCUGCAUCAAUUAACUCUCUGUAAUUUUCUAAAUAACACACAACUUAGAUGUUACGCCUAAAUAACAUGCCUUCCAUUUUUUCAUGAAAUUUUAUGAAAUAACCUCUCCUCCUUAGCCAAUCACUUUUAAGAUUAGAAAAUUUACCUCUACUUGGAGCCUUUACAUUCAUUAGCAUUGUACGUU
rnacentral:lncRNA from 1 species